AGAGUUUGAUCCUGGCUCAGGACGAACGCUGGCGGCGUGCUUAACACAUGCAAGUCNAGCGAUGAAGUUUCUUCGGAAAUGGAUUANCGGCGAACGGGUGAGGAACACGUGAAGAAUCUGCCCUCCACUUUGGGAUAACACCGGGAAACCGGUGCUAAUACCGAAUAUUGAAACAUAAGUGGCAUCACUGAGUUUUGAAAGAAUUUCGGUGGAGGAUGACUUCGCGGCCUAUCAGCUANUUGGUGAGGUAAUGGCUCACCAAGGCAACGACGGGUANCCGGCCUGAGAGGGCGACCGGCCACACUGGGACUGANACACGGCCCANACUCCUACGGGAGGCAGCAGUGGGGAAUAUUGGGCAAUGGAGGAAACUCUGACCCAGCGACGCCGCGUGCGGGAUGAAGGCCUUCGGGUUGUAAACCGCUUUCAGUAGGGAANAAGCGAAAGUGACGGUACCUACAAAAGAAGCACCGGCUAACUAUGUGCCAGCANCCGCGGUAAUACAUAGGGUGCAAGCGUUGUCCGGAAUUAUUGGGCGUAAAGAGCUCGUAGGUCNUUUGUUACNUCNGAUGUGAAAACCUGAGGCUCAACCUCANGCCUGCAUUCNAUACGGGCAAACUANAGUUUGGUAGGGGAGACUGGAACUCCUGGUGUANCGGUGGAAUGCGCANNUAUCA
rnacentral:rRNA from 1 species